AUUGAACGCUGGCGGCAUGCCUAACACAUGCAAGUCGAACGGCAGCACGGCAGUAGCAAUACUGUGGGUGGCGAGUGGCGGACGGGUGAGGAAUACGUCGGAAUCUGCCCAGUCGUGGGGGAUAACUAGCCGAAAGGUUUAGCUAAUACCGCAUACGACCGAGAGGUGAAAGCGGGGGACCGCAAGGCCUCGCGCGAUUGGAUGAGCCGACGUCGGAUUAGCUAGUUGGUGGGGUAAAGGCCACCAAGGCGACGAUCCGUAGCUGGUCUGAGAGGAUGAUCAGCCACACUGGAACUGAGACACGGUCCAGACUCCUACGGGAGGCAGCAGUGGGGAAUAUUGGACAAUGGGCGCAAGCCUGAGUCCAGCAAUGCCGCGUGUGUGAGGAAGGCCUCGG
rnacentral:rRNA from 1 species